CCUACGGGAGGCAGCAGUGAGGAAUAUUGGUCAAUGGACGCAAGUCUGAACCAGCCAUGCCGCGUGCAGGAAGACGGCUCUAUGAGUUGUAAACUGCUUUUGUACGAGGGUAAAUCCCGAUACGUGUAUCGGGUUGAAAGUAUCGUACGAAUAAGGAUCGGCUAACUCCGUGCCAGCAGCCGCGGUAAUACGGAGGAUUCAAGCGUUAUCCGGAUUUAUUGGGUUUAAAGGGUGCGUAGGCGGUUCGAUAAGUUAGAGGUGAAAGCCCGGGGCUCAACUCCGGCACUGCCUCUGAUACUGUCGGGCUAGAGUUUAGUUGCGGUAGGCGGAAUGUAUGGUGUAGCGGUGAAAUGCAUAGAGAUCAGACAGAAGACCGAUUGCGAAGGCAGCUUACCAAACUACGACUGACGUUGAGGCACGAAAGCGUGGGGAGCAAACAGGAUGAGAUACCCCUGUAGUG
rnacentral:rRNA from 1 species